AGUCCACGCCGUAAACGAUGCGUGCUCGGUGUAGGGAUCCUUGACUUGAUCUCUGUGCCCAAGGUAACCCGUUAAGCACGCCGCCUGUGUAGUACGAGCGCAAGCUUAAAACACAAAGGAAUAGACGGGGACCCACACAAGCGGUGGAACGUGGGGUUUAAUUCGUCAAUAAACGAGUAACCUCACCCAGGUUUGACAUCCCUAUUAAACUUUCUAGAGAUAGAUUGGUCAGUUCGGCUGGAUAGGUGACAGGCGUUGCAUGGUUGUCGUCAGCUCGUGCCUUGAGGUGUUCGGUUAAGUCCGUGAACGAGCGCAACCCUCGUCGUAUGUUGUAUUUUCAUGCGAGACUGCCCGUUAAACGCGGGAGGAAGGUGAGGAUGACGUCAAAUCAGCAUGACCCUUAUACCUGGGGCUACACCCGCGUUACAAUGGCAAGCACAAACUGAGGCGAAGCAGCAAUGUGGAGCAAAUCGGAGAAAACUUGUCUUAGUUCGGAUUGAGGUCUGAAACUCGACCUCAUGAAGUUGGAAUCGCUAGUAAACGUAUAUCAGUCACGGUACGUUGAAUAUGUUCCUGGGUCUUGUACUCACCGCCCGUCAAGGCAUGGGAGUCAGGGGCACCCGAAGUCUGCUUAAUAAAAG
rnacentral:rRNA from 1 species